GCCUAUUAGCUAGCCCUACUUAAACGAACAACAAUCAAAUCUUAAUAAACCCAAACCCACUGAUUUAGACCCCCUAAGCUAAACCAUUCUCCCCCUGAAGUACGAGCGACGGAAAAAGGACUAUAUGGAGCGAUAGAGAAAGUACCGCAAGGGAAUGCUGAAAGAAAGAUGAAAUAGAUUAGUAAAGCACAAAAAAGCAGAGAUCCAACCUCGUACUUU
rnacentral:rRNA from 1 species